rnacentral:rRNA from 1 species
UGGGGAAUAUUGCACAAUGGGCGCAAGCCUGAUGCAGCCAUGCCGCGUGUAUGAAGAAGGCCUUCGGGUUGUAAAGUACUUUCAGCGGGGAGUAAGGUGUUGAGGUUAAUAACCUCAGCAAUUGACGUUACCCGCAGAAGAAGCACCGGCUAACUCCGUGCCAGCAGCCGCGGUAAUACGGAGGGUGCAAGCGUUAAUCGGAAUUACUGGGCGUAAAGCGCACGCAGGCGGUCUGUCAAGUCGGAUGUGAAAUCCCCGGGCUCAACCUGGGAACUGCAUUCGAAACUGGCAGGCUAGAGUCUUGUAGAGGGGGGUAGAAUUCCAGGUGUAGCGGUGAAAUGCGUAGAGAUCUGGAGGAAUACCGGUGGCGAAGGCGGCCCCCUGGACAAAGACUGACGCUCAGGUGCGAAAGCGUGGGGAGCAAACA